rnacentral:rRNA from 1 species
UGCUGACGACCGGCGCACGGGUGAGUAACGCGUAUGCAACCUGCCCCUGACAGGAGGAUAGCCCUAGGAAACUGGGAUUAAUACUCCAUGUAUUAUCAAAUAGGCAUCUAUUACAUAAUAAAGCUACGGCGGUCAGGGAUGGGCAUGCGUGCCAUUAGUUAGUUGGUGAGGUAACGGCUCACCAAGGCAUCGAUGGCUAGGGGUUCUGAGAGGAUGAUCCCCCACACUGGUACUGAGACACGGACCAGACUCCUACGGGAGGCAGCAGUGAGGAAUAUUGGUCAAUGGGCGCAAGCCUGAACCAGCCAUGCCGCGUGCAGGAUGACUGUUCUAUGAAUUGUAAACUGCUUUUCUGCGGGAAGAAAUGUACCUACGUGUAGGUAUUUGCCGGUACUGCAGGAAUAAGCAUCGGCUAACUCCGUGCCAGCAGCCGCGGUAAUACGGAGGAUGCAAGCGUUAUCCGGAUUCAUUGGGUUUAAAGGGUGCGCAGGCGGUGUAUUAAGUCAGUGGUGAAAUGCUGCGGCUCAACCGUAGACUUGCCAUUGAUACUGGUACACUUGAAUGUAGUUGAGGUAGGCGGAAUGUGUAAUGUAGCGGUGAAAUGCUUAGAUAUUACACAGAACACCGAUUGCGAAGGCAGCUUACUAAACUAUGAUUGACGCUGAGGCACGAAAGCGUGGGGAGCGAACAGGAUUAGAUACCCUGGUAGUCCACGCUGUAAACUAUGAUCACUGGUUGUUGGCAAUAUACCGUCAGCGACUGAGCGAAAGCAUUAAGUGAUCCACCUGGGGAGUACGUCGGCAACGAUGAAACUCAAAGGAAUUGACUGGGGCCCGCACAAGCGGAGGAACAUGUGGUUUAAUUCGAUGAUACGCGAGGAACCUUACCUGGGCUUAAAUGUAGAGUGCAUAGAGUGGAAACAUUCUUUUCCUUCGGGACUCUUUACAAGGUGCUGCAUGGUUGUCGUCAGCUCGUGCCGUGAGGUGUCGGGUUAAGUCCCAUAACGAGCGCAACCCUUGUCGUUAGUUGCUAGCAGGUCAAGCUGAGGACUCUAACGAGACUGCCGGUGUAAACCGAGAGGAAGGUGGGGAUGACGUCAAAUCAGCACGGCCCUUAUGUCCAGGGCUACACACGUGUUACAAUGGCCAGUACAAGGAGCAGCCACC